GAGGGUAGAGCUCAAUGGUAGAGCGUGUGCUUAGCAUGCAUGAGGUCCUGGGUUCAAUCCCCAGUAUCUCCA
rnacentral:tRNA from 1 species